rnacentral:rRNA from 1 species
GGUGGCCUCUAGCCACCCUCAGCGUGCCUGGCCCAUCUGAGCUCAGAGGCUAAGCAGGGCUGGGCUACUUAGAACGUGGAUGGGAGACGGCUUGCAAAUACUAGGGGCCGUGC